GCUGUCCACCUGCAGAGGGGGGAAGAGAGUCUAGUCUAUUAAGUGUGAGACAGUGGAGGCCCUGGGAAGGAAAAUACCAUGAAAUUCAAUAGCUAUGUAUGUGUUCUGGUAGCUCAGUCUAGAUUGAUCUACAUUUACCAAACUGCUACAGCACUGUCAAAAAAAAUGAUGGAUUCUUCAGCCAGUUCCCCUGUAACCUUGUACACUUAGGUACAUUGCAUCCAUCACAGUACUCGACAAGUAUUGUUAUUCAUUCAAGUUGCUGUGGUAACCUAAGCACAAGUGCAGAUAGACUUGAAUUUUAGGUAUGAUCCAAUAAAAGCCUAUUUGGUAUGUCACCA
rnacentral:lncRNA from 1 species